rnacentral:rRNA from 1 species
CCUACGGGGUGCAGCAGUGAGGAAUAUUGGUCAAUGGACGAGAGUCUGAACCAGCCAAGUAGCGUGAAGGAUGACUGCCCUAUGGGUUGUAAACUUCUUUUAUAUGGGAAUAAAAUGUUCCACGUGUGGGAUUUUGUAUGUACCAUAUGAAUAAGGAUCGGCUAACUCCGUGCCAGCAGCCGCGGUAAUACGGAGGAUCCGCGCGUUAUCCGGAUUUAUUGGGUUUAAAGGGAGCGUAGGUGGAUUGUUAAGUCAGUUGUGAAAGUUUGCGGCUCAACCGUAAAAUUGCAGUUGAAACUGGCAGUCUUGAGUACAGUAGAGGUGGGCGGAAUUCGUGGUGUAGCGGUGAAAUGCUUAGAUAUCACGAAGAACUCCGAUUGCGAAGGCAGUUCACUGGACUGCAACUGACACUGAGGCUCGAAAGUGUGGGUAUCAAACAGGAUUAGAUACCCUUGUAGUC